rnacentral:rRNA from 1 species
UACGAAGGGGGCUAGCGUUGCUCGGAAUCACUGGGCGUAAAGGGCGCGUAGGCGGCGUUUUAAGUCGGGGGUGAAAGCCUGUGGCUCAACCACAGAAUGGCCUUCGAUACUGGGACGCUUGAGUAUGGUAGAGGUUGGUGGAACUGCGAGUGUAGAGGUGAAAUUCGUAGAUAUUCGCAAGAACACCGGUGGCGAAGGCAGGUCUCUGGGCCAUUACUGACACUGAGGCACGAAAGCGUGGGGAGCAAACAGG